ensembl:snRNA U6 U6 spliceosomal RNA
AUGCUCACUUCGGCAGCACAUACACUAAAACUGGAACAAAAUGGAGAAAAUUAGCAUGUCCCCUGCGUAAGGAUUACAUGCUAAUAUCUGCAAAACAUAUUAUG